AUUGAACGCUGGCGGCAUGCUUUACACAUGCAAGUCGAACGGUAACAGGCCGCAAGGUGCUGACGAGUGGCGAACGGGUGAGUAAUGCAUCGGAACGUGCCCAGUCGUGGGGGAUAACGCAGCGAAAGCUGCGCUAAUACCGCAUACGAUCUAUGGAUGAAAGCGGGGGACCGUAAGGCCUCGCGCGAUUGGAGCGGCCGAUGUCAGAUUAGGUAGUUGGUGGGGUAAAGGCUCACCAAGCCAACGAUCUGUAGCUGGUCUGAGAGGACGACCCGCCACACUGGGACUAAGACACGGACCAGACUCCUACGGGCGGCAGCAGGGGGGAAUUUUGGACAAUGGGCGCAAGCCUGAUCCAGCAAUGCCGCGUGCAGGAAGAAGGCCUUCGGGUUGUAAACUGCUUUUGUACGGAACGAAAAGGCUCUGGAUAAUACCUGGGGCUCAUGACGGUACCGUAAGAAUAAGCACCGGCUAACUACGUGCCAGCCGCCGCCGUAAUAC
rnacentral:rRNA from 1 species